rnacentral:lncRNA from 1 species
GUGGAAUUGUCUUGGAGCUGCUUGCAGAGGCCUGGGUAAUUCAGUGCAGGAUACUGCAGUGUCUGCUCUGAGCUGACCAAGUCCUCCUCAGGUUCUUGUCCUUGGCUCUAAAUUAUCCUGGGAUUUAUAUUGAUGAAGAAUUUGCUAUGAACAGGUCCUUGAAACAGCUCCUUCUUACUGUACAGAUUUUUCACAGCAUCAAGAUCCAUUCCUUUGUGGGAAGAGACCUGUGGAUGUAUUCUGUUCCAUCAGGAAGCUCACACUUCAGGAUUUUCUCAUUUUCCAGCUGUAUCAAGAUCACCGUGGCAUACACAGGCUGCUGCAAGCCUUUCCAGUAGUUCCUGCAAGAUGGAAGUGCAAGGGCAAAGCAGGAAUCCAGAAGAGACUCCCCAGUUUGCUGGGGCCAGAGAUGCACACACACCUGAGAGUCAGGAGUGCUGUCUCUGCCGCAGCAGGCAGCGCACAGCAACGCAUUCCUGCCAAAACCAGCACAGGGGAGUCUGACAACAACGGCAAGAGCGGCAAUGAAAAGGCGCCUUCUGCCUCGUGCUCAGCAAACUGAACACAGCCCGAGCAACUGUGCUUUUGGGAGAGAAAAGUGAAUCAAUAACUCGAUGAGGACUGUCAAGUAAUGCUGUUGUCUGCAGUGUCUUUAAUGGCUUUGGUCAAUAAACUGAAAUUAUUUUACA